GACGAACGCUGGCGGCGUGCUUAACACAUGCAAGUCGAACGGAAAGGCCCUGCUUUUGUGGGGUGCUCGAGUGGCGAACGGGUGAGUAACACGUGAGUAACCUGCCCUUGACUUUGGGAUAACUUCAGGAAACUGGGGCUAAUACCGGAUAGGAGCUCCUGCUGCAUGGUGGGGGUUGGAAAGUUUCGGCGGUUGGGGAUGGACUCGCGGCUUAUCAGCUUGUUGGUGGGGUAGUGGCUUACCAAGGCUUUGACGGGUAGCCGGCCUGAGAGGGUGACCGGCCACAUUGGGACUGAGAUACGGCCCAGACUCCUACGGGAGGCAGCAGUGGGGAAUAUUGCACAAUGGGCGGAAGCCUGAUGCAGCAACGCCGCGUGCGGGAUGACGGCCUUCGGGUUGUAAACCGCUUUCGCCUGUGACGAAGCGUGAGUGACGGUAAUGGGUAAAGAAGCACCGGCUAACUACGUGCCAGCAGCCGCGGUGAUACGUAGGGUGCGAGCGUUGUCCGGAUUUAUUGGGCGUAAAGGGCUCGUAGGUGGUUGAUCGCGUCGGAAGUGUAAUCUUGGGGCUUAACCCUGAGCGUGCUUUCGAUACGGGUUGACUUGAGGAAGGUAGGGGAGAAUGGAAUUCCUGGUGGAGCGGUGGAAUGCGCAGAUAUCAGGAGGAACACCAGUGGCGAAGGCGGUUCUCUGGGCCUUUCCUGACGCUGAGGAGCGAAAGCGUGGGGAGCGAACAGGCUUAGAUACCCUGGUAGUCCACGCUGUAAACGGUGGGUACUAGGUGUGGGGUCCAUUCCACGGGUUCCGUGCCGUAGCUAACGCUUUAAGUACCCCGCCUGGGGAGUACGGCCGCAAGGCUAAAACUCGAAGGAAUUGACGGGGCCCCGCACAAGCGGCGGAGCAUGCGGAUUAAUUCGAUGCAACGCGUAGAACCUUACCUGGGUUUGACAUGGAUCGGGAGUGCUCAGAGAUGGGUGUGCCUCUUUUGGGGUCGGUUCACAGGUGGUGCAUGCCUGUCGUCAGCUCGUGUCGUGAGAUGUUGGGUUAAGUCCCGCAACGAGCGCAACCCUUGUUCACUGUUGCCAGCACGUUAUGGUGGGGACUCAGUGGAGACCGCCGGGGUCAACUCGGAGGAAGGUGGGGAUGACGUCAAGUCCUCAUGCCCCUUAUGUCCAGGGCUUCACGCAUGCAACAAUGGCUGGUACAGAGAGUGGCGAGCCUGUGAGGGUGAGCGAAUCUCGGAAAGCCGGUCUCAGUUCGGAUUGGGGUCUGCAACUCGACCUCAUGAAGUCGGAGUCGCUAGUGAUCGCAGAUCAGCAACGCUGCGGUGAAUACGUUCCCGGGGCU
rnacentral:rRNA from 1 species